rnacentral:rRNA from 1 species
GACGAACGCUGGCGGCGUGCCUAAUACAUGCCAGUUGAGCGCUGAAGGUUGGUACUUGUACCAACUGGAUGAGCAGCGAACGGGUGAGUAACGCGUGGGGAAUCUGCCUUUGAGCGGGGGACAACAUUUGGAAACGAAUGCUAAUACCGCAUAAAAACUUUAAACACAAGUUUUAAGUUUGAAAGAUGCAAUUGCAUCACUCAAAGAUGAUCCCGCGUUGUAUUAGCUAGUUGGUGAGGUAAAGGCUCACCAAGGCGAUGAUACAUAGCCGACCUGAGAGGGUGAUCGGCCACAUUGGGACUGGGACACGGCCCAAACUCCUACGGGAGGCAGCAGUAGGGAAUCUUCGGCAAUGGACGAAAGUCUGACCGAGCAACGCCGCGGGAGGGAAGAAGGUUUUCGGAUCGGAAAACUCUGUUGGUAGAGAAGAACGUUGGUGAGAGUGGAAAGCUCAUCAAGUGACGGUAACUACCCAGAAAGGGACGGCUAACUACGUG